rnacentral:tRNA from 1 species
UCCUCAGUAGCUCAGCGGUAGAGCGAUCGACUGUUAAUCGAUUGGUCGCAGGUUCGAAUCCUGCUGGGGAG